GAAGACCAAGGGUUCCUGUCCAACGUUAAUCGGGGCAGGGUGAGUCGACCCCUAAGGCGAGGCCGAAAGGCGUAGUCGAUGGGAAACGGGUUAAUAUUCCCGUACUUGGUGUUACUGCGAAGGGGGGACGGAGAAGGCUAUGUUGGCCGGGCGACGGUUGUCCCGGUUUAAGCGUGUAGGUGUGUGUUCCAGGUAAAUCCGGUUCACUUUAACACUGAGGCGUGACGACGAGGCACUACGGUGCUGAAGCAACAAAUGCCCUGCUUCCAGGAAAAGCCUCUAAGCAUCAGGUAACAUCAAAUCGUACCCCAAACCGACACAGGUGGUCAGGUAGAGAAUACCAAGGCGCUUGAGAGAACUCGGGUGAAGGAACUAGGCAAAAUGGUGCCGUAACUUCGGGAGAAGGCACGCUGACACGUAGGUGAAGUGAUUUACUCAUGGAGCUGAAGUCAGUCGAAGAUACCAGCUGGCUGCAACUGUUUAUUAAAAACACAGCACUGUGCAAACACGAAAGUGGACGUAUACGGUGUGACGCCUGCCCGGUGCCGGAAGGUUAAUUGAUGGGGUCAGCGCAAGCGAAGCUCCUGAUCGAAGCCCCGGUAAACGGCGGCCGUAACUAUAACGGUCCUAAGGUAGCGAAAUUCCUUGUCGGGUAAGUUCCGACCUGCACGAAUGGCGUAAUGAUGGCCAGGCUGUCUCCACCCGAGACUCAGUGAAAUUGAACUCGCUGUGAAGAUGCAGUGUACCCGCGGCAAGACGGAAAGACCCCGUGAACCUUUACUAUAGCUUGACACUGAACAUUGAGCCUUGAUGUGUAGGAUAGGUGGGAGGCUUUGAAGUGUGGACGCCAGUCUGCAUGGAGCCGACCUUGAAAUACCACCCUUUAAUGUUUGAUGUUCUAACGUGGACCCGUGAUCCGGGUUGCGGACAGUGUCUGGUGGGUAGUUUGACUGGGGCGGUCUCCUCCUAAAGAGUAACGGAGGAGCACGAAGGUUGGCUAAUCCUGGUCGGACAUCAGGAGGUUAGUGCAAUGGCAUAAGCCAGCUUGACUGCGAGCGUGACGGCGCGAGCAGGUGCGAAAGCAGGUCAUAGUGAUCCGGUGGUUCUGAAUGGAAGGGCCAUCGCUCAACGGAUAAAAGGUACUCCGGGGAUAACAGGCUGAUACCGCCCAAGAGUUCAUAUCGACGGCGGUGUUUGGCACCUCGAUGUCGGCUCAUCACAUCCUGGGGCUGAAGUAGGUCCCAAGGGUAUGGCUGUUCGCCAUUUAAAGUGGUACGCGAGCUGGGUUUAGAACGUCGUGAGACAGUUCGGUCCCUAUCUGCCGUGGGCGCUGGAGAACUGAGGGGGGCUGCUCCUAGUACGAGAGGACCGGAGUGGACGCAUCACUGGUGUUCGGGUUGUCAUGCCAAUGGCACUGCCCGGUAGCUAAAUGCGGAAGAGAUAAGUGCUGAAAGCAUCUAAGCACGAAACUUGCCCCGAG
rnacentral:rRNA from 1 species